GGUGCAUGUGCUCGGCCCCGCUCUCAAAUCCACUCAACACCUGUGCACUUUCAAAGUUGUAGUUCCCCUUCGUUGAAGGAGCGAGAAGUGAGCCAGCAAUGGCUUGCUUUUGGAGCUACGCUUUGCCAUUAUCACAAACCAUUAGCUCUGUCUUGUAGAAUGUAACUUAGCCUUCUCUGAGGGUGAAAUGUAAUACAACUUUCAACAACGGAUCUCUUGGCUCUCGCAUCGAUGAAGAACGCAGCGAAAUGCGAUAAGUAAUGUGAAUUGCAGAAUUCAGUGAAUCAUCGAAUCUUUGAACGCACCUUGCGCUCCUUGGUAUUCCGAGGAGCAUGCCUGUUUGAGUGUCGUGAAAUUAUCAACUCCCUUUUUCUUUGUUGAAAAGGGUGAGCUUGGACUUGGAGACUGCUGGUGUCUGUCAGCUUCUCUUGAAUGCAUUAGCUGGACCUAUGAUUUGCAGCAUAUAUGCGGUGUGAUAAUGUCGUCACUGCAUCGCUCGAGUCGAAUCUGGCUUCUAAUUGUCUCUCUGAGACAGCUUUGAUCAAUCUGACCUCAAAUCAGGUAGGACUACCCGCUGAACUUAAGCAUAUCAAUAAGCGGAGGAA
rnacentral:rRNA from 1 species